UAUGGCCAUAUCACGUUGAAACAUUGGUUCUUGUAUGAUCAUUGAAGUUAAGCAACAUCGAGCCUGGUCAAGUACCUAAAUGAGUGACCAUUUGGGAAUAUCAGGUGCUGUAA